GACGUAGGGCGCGAGCGUUGUCCGGAUUUAUUGGGCGUAAAGAGCUCGUAGGCGGUGUGUCGCGUCGGCCGUGAAAACCUGUGGCUUAACUAUGGGCUUGCGGUCGAUACGGGCAUCACUGGAGUUCGGCAGGGGAGACUGGAAUUCCUGGUGUAGCGGUGAAAUGCGCAGAUAUCAGGAGGAACACCGGUGGCGAAGGCGGGUCUCUGGGCCGAUGACUGACGCUGAGGAGCGAAAGCGUGGGGAGCGAACAGG
rnacentral:rRNA from 1 species